UACGGGGGGGGUAAGCGUUGUUCGGAAUUACUGGGCGUAAAGGGCUCGUAGGCGGCCAACUAAGUCAGACGUGAAAUCCCUCAGCUUAACUGGGGAACUGCGUCUGAUACUGGAUGGCUUGGAUUCGGGAGAGGAAUGCGGAAUUCCAGGUGUAGCGGUGAAAUGCGUAGAUAUCUGGAGGAACACCGGUGGCGAAGGCGGCAUUCUGGACCGAUAUUGACGCUGAGGCACGAAGGUCAGGGGAGCAAACGGG
rnacentral:rRNA from 1 species